ACUAACAGGAUUCCCCAAGUAGCGGCGAGCGAACAGGGAAAAGCCCAGCACUGAAUCCCGCGGCCGGUUACCGGACGCCGGGAAAUGUAGUGUUAGGGAGGGUCCGCCAUCCCGAGAUCUUGCGACGAGUCCAAGUCCUUCUUGAACGGGGCCACUUACCCAAAGAGGGUGCCAGGCCCGUGGGACUGUCGCGGAUAGCGGGAGGACCUCUCCUCAGAGUCGGGUUGCUUGAGAGUGCAGCCCUAAGUGGGUGGUAAACUCCAUCUAAGGCUAAAUAUCACCACGAGACCGAUAGCGAACAAGUACCGUGAGGGAAAGUUGAAAAGAACUUUGAAGAGAGAGUUCAAUAGUACGUGAAACCGUUCAGGGGUAAACCUGAGAAACCCGAAAGAUCGACCGGGGAGAUUCAGCGCGUUUCGCGCGUCGGCGAGCCGCGAACGUGCGACGGUCGUGUUUUUCGUCCUUUGCGGGACGACAAAACCGAUCGCGCCGUUCGCCGGCCGUCCGGCACCGAACGCGUGCACUUCUCCCCCGGUAGGACGUCGCGACCCGUCGGUCGUCUGUCUACGGUUCCCGGUGGUGACCGGUCGACGAGCGUAAGCAAGUCGUGCCGGACCCGGGAUGUCCCGUCAGGCGAGAUAUAUAAAAUAUUGAAAAACUCAACGGUAUAAAAUAAAACAAUAUGACUUUAAACACAUAGCUUCGAGGGGAGGCGUCCCCUAAGGUGGCGCGCGUCCCACCCGAACGCAAGUACAACACUAUGUGUGUGUGCGUUGCUUCGCUUCACUGCGGGGUGCGUGCAUGUUCUGCACCGCGUUUUUAAAAGACAAACGUAUAUCGUUUGGCGCGCCGCAAAGUCUACUGUAGUGGUCGCGUUUUUCUAGGGGGGAUGCGGGUUUUAACAUUAUCGGCAUACCCGAUACCCGUCGCACUCCCGGGGCGUCUCAAGCUCAUCGCGAGCUGAGGCGCACCCAGAGCGUACACGCUGGGACCCGAAAGAUGGUGAACUAUGCCUGGUCAGGACGAAGUCAGGGGAAACCCUGAUGGAGGUCCGUAGCGAUUCUGACGUGCAAAUCGAUCGUCGGAACUGGGUAUAGGGGCGAAAGACUAAUCGAACCAUCUAGUAGCUGGUUCCCUCUGAAGUUUCCCUCAGGAUAGCUGGCUCUCGUUAAGAGAGAGUUUCAUCCGGUAAAGCGAAUGAUUAGAGGCAUUGGGGUCGAAACGGCCUCAACCUAUUCUCAAACUUUAAAUGGGUGAGAACCCCGGCUUGCUUAAACGAUGAAGCCGGGGAAAGAAAUUUGAAUUAUUGAUUUGGAUUAACAUAGAAUCAGAG
rnacentral:rRNA from 1 species